rnacentral:misc_RNA from 1 species
GCAAACUUGGUCAUUUAGAGGAAGUAAAAGUCGUAACAAGGUCUCCGUUGGUGAACCAGCGGAGGGAUCAUUAAAGAAUGAAAUAUGUGUUUAUUCAUAUUUUCAUAAUUCUCUGUGGAACUCUGAACGUUGCUUCGGUGGCAUUUCACGGAGAGGGGUGGGGGGUUUCCCCACUCACUCUUUGGAGUUGCUGCCGAAGGCUCAUCCAAUUAAAACUUAUUGUGCAUUAUUUUCUCUGAGUGGAUUUUUAAUGAAAAUAUUUUUCCAAAAACUUUCAGCAACGGAUCUCUUGGUUCCGGCAUCGAUGAAGAACGCAGC